AGCUCCAAUAGCGUAUAUUAAAGUUGCUGCAGUUAAAAAGCUCGUAGUUGGAUUUCUGGCUUGUAAUAUCUUGCCGGCCACGGUUUCGUGUGUUAGUGCAUGAUGUUCUGGCCAUCCUUCCAAUUGCUGCUCACUUCUCUUCACUGAUUAGUGAGUAGUAUUGGAUCUUUUACUUUGAAAAAAUUAGAGUGUUUAAAGCAGGCUAUUGCUAUGAAUACAUUAGCAUGGAAUAAUAAUUUAGGACUUCGGUUCUAUUUUGUUGGUUUCUAGGACUGAAGUAAUGAUUGAUAGGGUCAGUUGGGGGUGCUAGUAUUCAGCGGCCAGAGGUGAAAUUCUUGGAUUCGCUGAAGACUAACUUAUGCGAAAGCAUUCACCAAGGAUGUCUUCU
rnacentral:rRNA from 1 species